UACAGAGGUCUCAAGCGUUGUUCGGAUUCCUUGGGCGUACAGGGUGCGUAGGUGGCGGGGUAAGUCAGGUGUGAAAUCUCGAGGCUCAACCUCGAAACUGCACUUGAUACUGCCUUGCUUGAGUACUGGAGAGGAGAUUGGAAUUUACGGUGUAGCAGUGAAAUGCGUAGAUAUCGUAAGGAAGACCAGUGGCGAAGGCGAAUCUCUGGACAGUUACUGACACUGAGGCACGAAGGCCAGGGGAGCAAACGGG
rnacentral:rRNA from 1 species